CCUACGGGAGGCAGCAGUGGGGAAUAUUGCGCAAUGGAGGGAACUCUGAUGCAGCGAUGCCGCGUGAGUGAAGAAGUAAUUCGGUAUGUAAAGCUCUAUCAGCAGGGACGAAAGUGACGGUACCUGAAAAAGAAGCUCCGGCUAAAUACGUGCCAGCAGCCGCGGUAAUACGUAUGGUGCAAGCGUUAUCCGGAUUUACUGGGUGUAAAGGGAGAGUAGGUGGCAGAGCAAGUCAGCAGUGAAAUCCCAAAGCUCAACUAUGGGAAUGCUUUAGAAACUGUUUAGCUAGAGUGCAGGAGAGGAAAGUGGAAUACUCAGUGUAGAGGUGAAAUGCGUAGAUAUUAGGAGGAACACCAGUGGCGAAGGCGGCUAGCUGGACUGUAACUGACACUGAGGCUCGAAAGCAUGGGGAGCAAACAGGAUUAGAUACCCGGGUAGUC
rnacentral:rRNA from 1 species